rnacentral:misc_RNA from 1 species
AACUUUUGACAACGGAUCACUUGGCUCUCGCAUCGAUGAAGAACGCAGCGAAAUGCGAUAACUAAUGUGAAUUGCAGAAUUCAGUGAAUCAUCGAGUUUUUGAACGCACCUUGCGCUCCUUGGCAUUCCUUGGAGCAUGCCUGUUUGAGUGUCAUGAAAUUCUCAACUCUUCCAACCUUUUUGUGGGUUUGGUCGAGCUUGGACUUGGAGGUACAUUGCUGGCCGAAAGGUCGGCUCCUCUUGAAUGCAUUAGCUAAACCCGCAGUGGAUCGGUCGCUCGGUUUGAUAAUAAAUGUUUAUGCCGUCUUCCGUGAAGCCUCGAAAGUGGGAUUCGCUUCCAAUCGUCUUCGGACAUCGCCUUCGGGUGAUCACUGACCAUUUUGACCUCAAAUCAGGUAGGACUACCCGCUGAACUUAAGCAUAUCAAUAAGCGGAGGCU